rnacentral:rRNA from 1 species
UAGGGAAUCUUCCGCAAUGGGCGAAAGCCUGACGGAGCAACGCCGCGUGAGUGAUGAAGGUCUUCGGAUCGUAAAACUCUGUUGUUAGAGAAGAACAAGGACGUUAGUAACUGAACGUCCCCUGACGGUAUCUAACCAGAAAGCCACGGCUAACUACGUGCCAGCAGCCGCGGUAAUACGUAGGUGGCAAGCGUUGUCCGGAUUUAUUGGGCGUAAAGCGAGCGCAGGCGGUUUCUUAAGUCUGAUGUGAAAGCCCCCGGCUCAACCGGGGAGGGUCAUUGGAAACUGGGAGACUUGAGUGCAGAAGAGGAGAGUGGAAUUCCAUGUGUAGCGGUGAAAUGCGUAGAUAUAUGGAGGAACACCAGUGGCGAAGGCGGCUCUCUGGUCUGUAACUGACGCUGAGGCUCGAAAGCGUGGGGAGCAAACAGG